AACGAACGCUGGCGGCAUGCCUAACACAUGCAAGUCGAACGAUUGCCUUCGGGUGAUAGUGGCGCACGGGUGCGUAACGCGUGGGAAUCUGCCCUUAGGUUCGGAAUAACAGCUGGAAACGGCUGCUAAUACCGGAUGAUAUCGCGAGAUCAAAGAUUUAUCGCCUGAGGAUGAGCCCGCGUUGGAUUAGGUAGUUGGUGGGGUAAAGGCCCACCAAGCCGACGAUCCAUAGCUGGUCUGAGAGGAUGAUCAGCCACACUGGGACUGAGACACGGCCCAGACUCCUACGGGAGGCAGCAGUGGGGAAUAUUGGACAAUGGGCGCAAGCCUGAUCCAGCAAUGCCGCGUGAGUGAUGAAGGCCCUAGGGUUGUAAAGCUCUUUUACCCGGGAAGAUAAUGACUGUACCGGGAGAAUAAGCCCCGGCUAACUCCGUG
rnacentral:rRNA from 1 species